GAACGCGAAUGAACCUUACCUGGGCUUGACAUCUGCGGACCCUUAUGGAAACAUGGGGGUGCCUGGCAACAGGAGCCGCAAGACAGGUGCUGCAUGGCUGUCGUCAGCUCGUGUCGUGAGAUGUUGGGUUAAGUCCCGCAACGAGCGCAACCCUUNUCUUUAGUUGCCAUCAUUUAGAUGGGCACUCUAAAGAGACUGCCGGUGUUAAACCGGAGGAAGGUGGGGACGACNUCAAGUCCUCAUGGCCUUUAUGCCCAGGGUCUACACACGUGCUACAAUGGGCGGUACNNAGGGUCCCAAACCUGCUGAAGGGGAGCUAAUNCCNNGAAGCCGUCCUCNCUGCGGAUCGGAGUCUGCAACUCGACUCCGUAAGGUNGGAAUCCGCUNCUAAUCGUGUGAUCACAUGCCACGGUGAAUACGUUCCCGGGCUCUUGGNACNCGCCG
rnacentral:rRNA from 1 species